rnacentral:rRNA from 1 species
GAUGAACGCUGGCGGCGUGCCUAAUACAUGCAAGUCGAGCGAACAGACGAGGAGCUUGCUCCUCCGACGUUAGCGGCGGACGGGUGAGUAACACGUGGAUAACCUACCUAUAAGACUGGGAUAACUUCGGGAAACCGGAGCUAAUACCGGAUAAUAUAUUGAACCGCAUGGUUCAAUAGUGAAAGACGGUUUUGCUGUCACUUAUAGAUGGAUCCGCGCCGCAUUAGCUAGUUGGUAAGGUAACGGCUUACCAAGGCAGCGAUGCGUAGCCGACCUGAGAGGGUGAUCGGCCACACUGGAACUGAGACACGGUCCAGACUCCUACGGGAGGCAGCAGUAGGGAAUCUUCCGCAAUGGGCGAAAGCCUGACGGAGCAACGCCGCGUGAGUGAUGAAGGUCUUCGGAUCGUAAAACUCUGUUAUUAGGGAAGAACAAAUGUGUAAGUAACUAUGCACGUCUUGACGGUACCUAAUCAGAAAGCCACGGCUAACUACGUG